rnacentral:rRNA from 1 species
UACGUAGGGGGCAAGCGUUAUCCGGAUUUACUGGGUGUAAAGGGAGCGUAGACGGCAGUGCAAGUAUGGAGUGAAAGGCGGGGGCUCAACCCCCGGACUGCUCUGGAAACUGUACGGCUGGAGUGCAGGAGAGGUAAGUGGAAUUCCUAGUGUAGCGGUGAAAUGCGUAGAUAUUAGGAGGAACACCAGUGGCGAAGGCGGCUUACUGGACUGUAACUGACGUUGAGGCUCGAAAGCGUGGGGAGCAAACAGG